GGCAGCGUAGCGGAUAUGUCCCCCCCUCCCCACCCCCGGUGACGGUCCCCAGCUUCCUAGGAGAGGGGAACGGAAAGUGCGGCCCCGGCUCCUGGGGUCACUUAAAGGAGAAGAUCAUCUCUAGUAUCUGGCCUACCGAUGAG